rnacentral:rRNA from 1 species
ACGUAGGGACCAAGCGUUGUUCGGAUUUACUGGGCGUAAAGGGCGCGUAGGCGGCUUGACAAGUCACUUGUGAAAUCUCCGGGCUUAACUCGGAACGGCCAAGUGAGACUGUCAUGCUAGAGUGCGGAAGGGGCAAUCGGAAUUCUUGGUGUAGCGGUGAAAUGCGUAGAUAUCAAGAGGAACACCUGAGGUGAAGACGGGUUGCUGGGCCGACACUGACGCUGAUGCGCGAAAGCCAGGGGAGCAAACGGGAUUAGAUACCCCGGUAGUCCUGGCCCUAAACGAUGAAUACUUGGUGUCUGGAGUCUUUAAUGCUCCGGGUGCCGUCGCUAACGUUUUUAGUAUUCCGCCUGGGGAGUACGCUCGCAAGAGUG